rnacentral:rRNA from 1 species
AGUGAACGCUGGCGGUAGGCCUAACACAUGCCAGUCGAACGGCAGCACAGUAAGAGCUUGCUCUUACGGGUGGCGAGUGGCGGACGGGUGAGGAAUACAUCGGAAUCUACUUUUUCGUGGGGGAUAACGUAGGGAAACUUACGCUAAUACCGCAUACGACCUACGGGUGAAAGCAGGGGAUCUUCGGACCUUGCGCGAUUGAAUGAGCCGAUGUCGGAUUAGCUAGUUGGCGGGGUAAAGGCCCACCAAGGCGACGAUCCGUAGCUGGUCUGAGAGGAUGAUAAGCCACACUGGAACGGAGCCACGGUCCGGACUCCUACGGGAGGCAGCAGUGGGGAAUAUUGGACAAUGGGCGCAAGCCUGAUCCAGCCAUACCGCGUGGGUGAAGAAGGCCUUCGGUUUGUAAAGCCCUUUUGUUGGGAAAGAAAAGCAGCAGGUUAAUACCCCGCUGUUCUGACGGUACCCAAAGAAUAAGCACCGGCUAACUUCGUG